rnacentral:rRNA from 1 species
CUACGGGAUGCUGCAGUGGGGAAUAUUGCACAAUGGAGGAAACUCUGAUGCAGCAACGCCGCGUGGAGGAUGACACUUUUCGGAGCGUAAACUCCUUUUAUAUAGGAAGAAGAUGACGGUACUAUAUGAAUAAGCGCCGGCUAACUCCGUGCCAGCAGCCGCGGUAAUACGGAGGGCGCAAGCGUUACUCGGAAUCACUGGGCGUAAAGAGCGUGUAGGCGGAUUAAAAAGUCAGAAGUGAAAUCCUAUAGCUUAACUAUAGAACUGCUUCUGAAACACUUAAUCUAGAAUAUGGGAGAGGUAGAUUGAAUUUCUGGUGUAGGGGUAAAAUCCGUAGAGAUCAGAAGGAAUACCGAUUGCGAAGGCGAUCUACUAGAACAUUAUUGACGCUGAGACGCGAAAGCGUGGGGAGCAAACAGGAUUAGAUACCCGGGUAGUC